GGUUGUGUGGUGUAGGGGUUAGCACUCCAGAUUCUGAUGUCCUUCACUGCAUUGGUAAAGAUUUCUGGUAACCCCGGUUCGAUUCCGGGCACGACCU